UACAGGGGGUGCAAACGUUGCUCGGAAUCAUUGGGCGUAAAGCGCGCGUAGGCGGCCCGGUAAGUCCGUUGUGAAAGUCAAAGGCUCAACCUUUGAAUGCCGACGGAUACUGCCGGGCUAGAGUACGGAAGAGGCGAGUGGAAUUCCUGGUGUAGCGGUGGAAUGCGCAGAUAUCAGGAGGAACACCUAUAGCGAAGGCAGCUCGCUGGGACGUUACUGACGCUGAGGCGCGAAAGCGUGGGGAGCGAACAGG
rnacentral:rRNA from 1 species